rnacentral:lncRNA from 1 species
GUCCUGCUAUUUAUGUUAUAAAUGUCGUGAGGAAAGUAAUUCCUGUACUAGUGAAGCCGGAGCAUUUCGUCAAUAUAAACUUGUGCAUGAAAUGGAGGUAAUAUUGAAAAACGAAUCCCAAACAGCGACGAAACCCGUUUCAUCGAAUUAAUAAAAACCCGGGAUUAUAUUUGCCGUUUUCGCGGAUGAUCUAGGAGUAGAUUACUAUAUUUUAAAAUGUAUAUAUCUGAAGAUGACUUAAUUGGGAAAUAUUUCUAAAGCUAAGGUUCAAGUAAU